CACGUAGGGCGCGAGCGUUGUCCGGAAUUAUUGGGCGUAAAAAGCUCGUAGGCGGCCUGUUGCGUCCGCUGUGAAAGCCCGGGGCUUAACCCCGGGUCGGCAGUGGAUACGGGCAGGCUAGAGGUAGGUAGGGGAGAAUGGAAUUCCCGGUGUAGCGGUGAAAUGCGCAGAUAUCGGGAGGAACACCGGUGGCGAAGGCGGUUCUCUGGGCCAUUACUGACGCUGAGGAGCGAAAGCGUGGGGAGCGAACAGG
rnacentral:rRNA from 1 species